rnacentral:rRNA from 1 species
AGUGAACGCUGGCGGCGUGCUUAACACAUGCAAGUCGAACGAGAACGGAAUAUAGCUUGCUAUAUUUGUCAGCUAAGUGGCGCACGGGUGAGUAAUAUAUAGAUAACCUGCCCUUAAGAAAGGAAUAACAGUUGGAAACGACUGCUAAUGCCCUAUAUGCCUUUAAUACAUAAGUAUGCAAGGGAAACGCUUUAGUGCUUAAGGAUGGGUCUGUAUGGUAUCAGCUUGUUGGUGAGGUAAUGGCUCACCAAGGCUAUGACGCCUAACUGGUUUGAGAGGAUGAUCAGUCACACUGGAACUGAGACACGGUCCAGACUCCUACGGGAGGCAGCAGUGGGGAAUAUUGCACAAUGGACGAAAGUCUGAUGCAGCAACGCCGCGUGGAGGAUGACACAUUUCGGUGCGUAAACUCCUUUUAUAUAGGAAGAUAAUGACGGUACUAUAUGAAUAAGCACCGACUAACUCCGUGCCAGCAGCCGCCGCAGUAA